GCCGGGUGUGGUGGCGCACACCUGUAAUCCCAGCUACUUGGGAGGCUGAGGCAUGAGAAUCACUUGAACCCAGGAGGUGGAGGCUGCAGUGAGCUGAGAUCACGCCACUGCACUCCAGCCUGGGUGACAGAGGAAGACUCUGUCUCAA
rnacentral:sRNA from 1 species